rnacentral:tRNA from 1 species
GGCUCUAUAGUGUAGUGGUUAGCAAGUCUGCUUUGCAAGCAGAAGGUCCUGGGUUCACUCUCCAGGUGGAGCCA